rnacentral:rRNA from 1 species
UACGUAGGGUGCAAGCGUUGUCCGGCAUUAUUGGGCGUAAAGAGCUCGUAGGCGGUCUGUCGCGUCUGCUGUGAAAACUCGGGGCUUAACCCCGGGCCUGCAGUGGGUACGGGCAGACUAGAGUGCGGUAGGGGAGACUGGAAUUCCUGGUGUAGCGGUGAAAUGCGCAGAUAUCAGGAGGAACACCGGUGGCGAAGGCGGGUCUCUGGGCCGUAACUGACGCUGAGGAGCGAAAGCGUGGGGAGCGAACAGG